rnacentral:hammerhead_ribozyme from 1 species
AUCCAGACACCAACGAGUCCCAAAUAGGACGAAAUGCGCAUCCUGGAU